rnacentral:rRNA from 1 species
AUUGAACGCUGGUGGCAGGCUUAACACAUGCAAGUCGAACGCCCCGCAAGGGGAGUGGCAGACGGGUGAGUAACACGUGGGAACGUACCCUUUGGUUCGGAAUAACUUGGGGAAACUCAAGCUAAUACCGGAUAAGCCCUUAUGGGGAAAGGUUUACUGCCGAAGGAUCGGCCCGCGUCUGAUUAGCUAGUUGGUGAGGUAAUGGCUCACCAAGGCGACGAUCAGUAGCUGGUCUGAGAGGAUGAUCAGCCACGCUGGGACUGAGACACGGCCCAGACUCCUACGGGAGGCAGCAGUGGGGAAUAUUGGACAAUGGGGGCAACCCUGAUCCAGCCAUGCCGCGUGAGUGAUGAAGGCCUUAGGGUUGUAAAGCUCUUUUACCCGGGACGAUAAUGACUGUACCGGGAGAAUAAGCCCCGGCUAACUUCGUGCCAGCCGCCGCGGUAAAAC